rnacentral:rRNA from 1 species
GAUCAACGCUGGCGGCGUGCAUGAGACAUGCAAGUCGAACGGACGACUCGGGCUUGCUCGAGUCGUUAGUGGCGGACGGCUGAGUAACGCGUGGGUGACCUGCCCCGAAGUGGGGAAUAACUGCCCGAAAGGGUGGCUAAUACCGCAUGUGGUGGUGCUUUCGAUUGCACCAGUAAAGCCGCAAGGCGCUUCGGGAGGGGCCUGCGUCCGAUUAGCUCGUUGGUGGGGUAACGGCUCACCAAGGCGACGAUCGGUAGGUGGUCUGAGAGGACGAUCACCCAGACUGGGACUGAGACACGGCCCAGACUCCUACGGGAGGCAGCAGUCGGGAAUUUUGCGCAAUGGACGAAAGUCUGACGCAGCAACGCCGCGUGAGGGAUGAAGGCCUUCGGGUUGUAAACCUCUUUUCUCAGGGACGAUGAUGACGGUACCUGAGGAAUAAGCCACGGCUAACUACGUGC